CCUACGGGAGGCAGCAGUGAGGAAUAUUGGUCAAUGGCCGGAAGGCUGAACCAGCCAUGCCGCGUGAAGGUCAGUGCCCUAUGGGCGUUAAACUUCUUUUGUGCGGGAGCAAUAAUGGUCACGUGUGGCCAGACGAGAGUACCGUACGAAUAAGCAUCGGCUAACUCCGUGCCAGCAGCCGCGGUAAUACGGGGGAUGCAAGCGUUAUCCGGAUUUAUUGGGUUUAAAGGGUGCGUAGGCGGUGUUUGAAGUUAGUGGUUAAACGGCGGGGUUUACCCUGGAUUUGCCAUUAAUACUGUAUGGCGCGAGUUCAGACGAGGUAGGCGGAAUAAGUGAAGUAGCGGUGAAAUGCUUAGAUAUAACUUAGAACUCCGAUAGCGAAGGCAGCUUACCAGACUGCGACUGACGCUGAAGCACGAGAGCGUGGGUAGCAAACAGGAUUAGAUACCCGUGUAGUC
rnacentral:rRNA from 1 species